rnacentral:rRNA from 1 species
GCUUUACACAUGCAAGUCGAACGCGGUCGAGGGGUAACUCUUGACUGAGUGGCGAACGGGUGAGUAAUACAUCGGAACAUGUCCUGUAGUGGGGGAUAGCCCGGCGAAAGCCGGAUUAAUACCGCAUACGAUCUACGGAUGAAAGCGGGGGACCUUCGGGCCUCGCGCUAUAGGGUUGGCCGAUGGCUGAUUAGCUAGUUGGUGGGGUAAAGGCCUACCAAGGCGACGAUCAGUAGCUGGUCUGAGAGGACGACCAGCCACACUGGGACUGAGACACGGCCCAGACUCCUACGGGAGGCAGCAGUGGGGAAUUUUGGACAAUGGGCGAAAGCCUGAUCCAGCAAUGCCGCGUGUGUGAAGAAGGCCUUCGGGUUGUAAAGCACUUUUGUCCGGAAAGAAAUCCUUGGCUCUAAUACAGUCGGGGGAUGACGGUACCGGAAGAAUAAGCACCGGCUAACUACGUGCCAGCAGCCGCGGUAAUACGUAGGGUGCGAGCGUUAAUCGGAAUUACUGGGCGUAAAGCGUGCGCAGGCGGUUUGCUAAGACCGAUGUGAAAUCCCCGGGCUCAACCUGGGAACUGCAUUGGUGACUGGCAGGCUAGAGUAUGGCAGAGGGGGGUAGAAUUCCACGUGUAGCAGUGAAAUGCGUAGAGAUGUGGAGGAAUACCGAUGGCGAAGGCAGCCCCCUGGGCCAAUACUGACGCUCAUGCACGAAAGCGUGGGGAGCAAACAG